AUGUCACCUCAGUUCUGUCCCCUCAUGUUCUUCAGUUCUGUUCUCUGUGGAAGAAGGAAACGUGAAACAUUGGUACCAGCCCUGUGUGGCCUUUUCUGGGAUUCUGUCUACACAUCCCUGAGAGGUAAUUAUUGUUUGUUACCUGUUACAGAAGAGGAAACUGAGGCUUUUAGAGCUUGGGUGAAUUGCACGAGGUCACAAAGAAGGCCUGGGCAGAGCUGGAAUCUCCUGACCAUCCGUUUGGUGAGCUGCGUCUGGUGCCAUCAAAUCCACUGGUUGUAGGUGCAAAUAUGGCAAGGCAUGCUUCGUUUGCAGCCCUAUUACUGUUCCUUCUCUGGAAAGAUAAUUUCUAAAUGCAUCAGAGCACAGCCUCAGCCUCUAUCCACACACAUAGAUGUUUGCCUAUUCUGCCUUCAAUCAAGUUAACUCGUGCAGGGGCAAUUCUUCUUUCUGUAAAGGCUCUAGACAUCACCGGUGGGAUGUUUCAUAAUGUUCAUAUUUUGGCAUAAUAGCUAUGCGGGCGGUGAGCCCCCCCCGUCACUGGAGGUAUACAAACAAAAAUAGGCCAAGCAUCUCUCCGUCUGGGAGGUUGGAGAAGAUUCAUACAACAGGUGAAGGUGGAGGGGGGAAUGGGAUGAUUAGGCUCCAAAAUGCCAGCCUACGAUCUGAGCUGCUCAUCCUCAGAUCAUGACGGGAGAGAAGAUAUUGAAGAUGCCAAUGCCUGGGCCACACCCUUGGAAAUUCUGAUCCCACAGGUCCCGGUAGGGUUCAGACAUCUGCAUUUAUAUGAACCCCCUCCCCCCCUCCUGCCAAGGUGAGACCUGAACAUUCCAUGACAUCUUCCAGCUCAGUAACUAGCUAACUCCAAGCUCCCCCCUUCGUGGUGAAGGCUGUGAGGUCUCUUAGCCAGUCAACAAACACUCUGGCCCAUUAGUGAGUUGAACAGGGAUGGGGGUGAGGCAAUAACACAGAGUCUUGGGUUCGAGUCCUACUCAGGACACUCAGCCUUGCUCCAGGACCGAGGGGGAAGAAAGGAGCAUGUGGGAACCACCAGGGUGCUGCUUUAAAUAGCGUAACGGGAAGCCGAGGGCUCACAACCACACCCCCAAAUGUCUUUAAGUCCUUGAAGUUUCCAAAGCUUUUUGGAUUAUAGAAUUGAGAAGGAGGGAUUGAAUCCACCUAAGAAAAAAGUUUCUUGUGAGGAUUAAAGUAAAUCCUGUACCCAAAGUGUGCACGAGGCACCUACUGGAUAAAUGUUAACUGCUGACGAUCAUCAUUAGCGGUGGCGUCUUGAAUAGUAAAAGGCUUAGCGCAAGGCCUUAGACAUAGCAAAUGCUUACCAAAAAAUUGCCAUAAUUAUUUCUGUAAGUUCCAACCAGCAUCCAGUUCCGCACUUUCUCCCCUGCUUCUCUGAUGACUUCCUAGCAGAGGCAGAGAACAUGCUGGCCCCAGAGCUGUGAGCUUGGGUCUGGGGGCCUUCUGAUCCCCGCAGAGCCCCAGAUCCCUUCCCUGGCUCAUAUGACGAACCCGGCAAAGCCUUCCCCUGCUCCCCAUUCGUUACAGGGAGGUUUUUCCGUCCCGUAAACUGGAUGUUAAAAACAAAUGUCCCUAAUUAGAAAUAAAAUGUUUCCAACCAGCUCGAAAUAAAAUCA
ensembl:lncRNA